rnacentral:lncRNA from 1 species
GGAGAUAUGCGGAUCAAUGUCUUCAAAAGCCUAUUCUUCAACAUGCCCUAGCAAUUCCAAGCAGUUUGAGAAGUCCUCAGAGCCAGCUAAGAACAACAAAAAGAGGGCUAGACCUGGUGAAAAUCCCAGGCCUAGACCAAGGGACAGACAACUCAUUCAAGAUCGGAUUAAGGAGCUGAGGGAGCUUGUGCCUAAUGGAGCAAAGGUAAUUUUCUUGCUGUUUAGAUGAGUGUUGGAUUCUGAUGGUUGCUGUUUAUACCCUUAUAAAUGUCAGUCUGCUAAAAUUUCAAGAAAAAUCUACAGUGCAGUAUUGAUUCAUUGCUGGAGCGCACAAUCAAGCACAUGGUCUUUCUUCAAGGUAUCACUAAGCAUGCUGACAAGCUUGGUAAAUGUGCUGAAUCAAAGGUAAAUUGUCAUGCCAUUUACUGGUUAAUGAUCUUUGUGACUCAGUAAAUUAGAAACUGGGAAGUUCUCCAUGAUCAUUUUCAAUUAUUGGGGCAUAUGAAUUAAAUGAACUCAUUCGAGUUUUGCUAGAAUUUUCUCUUUAGGGGCUUGUAGACAUAUUUAUAGAUUAUUGUCCUUUUUCAUGUAAUGGCAGCAUAAUUAAUGAUCACAAGCUGAAAUCAAGUUUUGUCAUGAUUUUUCAAGUGCCUCUUAGUGCCAGAACUUGUCCGAAGUUGUUGGUAUAAAAUUAAUAAGACUUGGUGGAAACACUGAUCAUAAACAAGAGCAUACCAUGUUUUGUUCUGUCAGUGAACGUCUUCUUUUGAUUCUUGUAGAUGCAUCAAAAGGGAGCUGGCAUGCUUGGAUCAUCCAAUUAUGAUCAAGGUUCAAGCUGGGCAGUGGAAGUGGGAAGCCCUCUAAAAGUUUGCUCUAUCAUAGUGGAAAAUAUAAACAAAAAUGGGCAGAUGCUUGUAGAGGUGCGUAUAGGGUCUGUGUAGGUUCAUGAGAACUGUUCCAGUAGAUGGUAUUGUAGUUAUUGUUUGUUAAGUUUAUCAUUUAAUUGGUGGGUUCACUGCUAAGUGUAAAUGUAGGAAGUUUUGUCCAUUGUUUACUGGUUAUAGUUAUUGUUUGUCAAGUUAAUGAUUUAUGUUAUUUAGGAAAUUUUGUUCAUUAUGUCACUGGUAUCGGUCUAUCAGAAAUAUGUUAGAAAAUUAAGAAGAGUUAAGUGAAUAACGAAGGGUGAUUCUAUGAGAAUGUGACACCAUAGCUUUCGUACAGUCAAAGAUGAGACUUUAUAUCCAAUGAAAACAAGAUAAAAUUUCACUUUUUACUCAUUAUUAUUAUUAUUAUUGUUCUCGGUGUUUUAAGUAUUUUAGUUGAUCCAUGCAGCUGUUGUGUGAGGAAUGUAGUCAUUUUCUUGAGAUAGCAGAGGCAAUCAGAAGCUUGGGCCUGACAAUCUUAAAAGGGAUUACAGAAGCACAUGGUGAGAAGACUUGUAUAUGGUUUGUGGUUGAGGUAGGGUUUAUUCUCUACGAUGAAUUGUCUGGCAUAUUAAGGCUUGCACAUGAAUUUUAUUUCCCUUCUGUAGGAUCAUUUGGGCAUCUAAAUGUCCAUCUUUAUUUGUUUAGUAUUUCCUGGCACAAGAUCCAAGCAUUGCUUGCUAAUUCGUAAAUUUCAAAGUUCCAUCUCCUACAUUCUGGGUGCUGAAGAUUGAUGUCUAAAUUUCAUACACUGAUGGAAGCAAUUGUGUCAGACCAAAAAAACAGAAAAGGAAAAAAUGUAAUCAAGAGGACAUGAUCAACCUCUUGUAAUGUGUUCUUGUCUUUGCAUCUGAGGCUGUGGUCUGUGUUUUCUAUCAGUUACGUGCCUGCCCAAAACAUACACAGGAGAUGCUGGUGGAACAUGUUAUUUGCUUCCUCUUGAUAUUUAUGAAAUUUAUACAUCGAAUAUAUUAUAAGUUAUACCUCCUAAGCUCCAUGCAGUAUGAAUUGCAUUCCAAACAAUUCAACUUUUAAUCCUCUUAUAAUUUUGCUUCCCUUUUCUGAACACAUUGCAGGGGAAGAACAGAGUUAUGCAUCGACUGGAUAUCUUAUGGUCUCUUGUGCAUAUUUUGCAAUCCAAGGCUACAAGCUAGCAACAAUGGCUUGUGAGGUUUUGGAGGCUGUAACAUUGGCUCCUAUUGUAAAAUAUCGUGAGUGGUUUGUGGUUUUUUAUUGGUUCUCUUGUUUUUGCCUCUUGUGUUUGUCUCUCCAUCCCAUAAGAAAUAUAUAAAGGAAGGGAAAAGGAGGGAAAGCAGCAUACCUAAGAAAACAUUUUGUAAAGAGUUUUUGCUUCUGUUCUUCAUAGUUCGUGGGAAAUGUCAUCUAUAAUUUUCUUCCUUUCCAAUCUUAUUAGACCAUUAUAUUCGGUUUGGACUGCCUUAACUGGAUAUUUUUCCUUUUGUAACUGCUUUAAUCUGACGAUUAAGAACGCUUAGAUUUAACAUUCACCAUCAAAGAAGCUACUGCACAUGAGAAAGAGAAAAACAUCAAGAUCUAAAUUGCAGAUUGCUUUUAUAUUAAUGCUUCAAAUUAAUGAUUGCGUAGUUACUAUAGUGUCAUGGCAUCAUAAGGUUAUUGUGAUGAGCUUGGUACUUGUCCUGCUAUCACCCUAUGCUUCACACUUAAAAAUUUAUCAUUUGUGAUAAUGAGCUAACGCAGGAGAAAAGGGAACCCUAAGUUGUCAUUCUAGUAUAGGUAAAAAUAAAGUGCUUGCAUGUAACAUCCAUGCAUUGACAUCUCCGUUUAAGUAUAAAAUCAUAGUAUAGUGAUGAUAAUGUCUAUACCCGAAUGAAGUCGCCAAUGUUUACUAUAAAAGCUCGAGGAAGAGGAGGGGUCAACAGGCUACUUCGAUGAGGGCCUCUGAUAUUGUCUUGAAGAAGAAUUGAGAGUCAAGAUUGGUCUGCAUGUUUUUUGUAAUGCCCGCAUAUUGGAGGAAAAAAUUGGGGUUCUAGUUGAUCAUCAAGGAAAUCAAAUGCUUCUAGAGUUAGAAGCAUAUCUCCAUUGCAGAAAUACCAAACAGGUUUGCUUAUAAUCCCGUGUGUACCAUGUAAUUGGCUUACACCACCUUCAGAAAUGUCAACAAAUGAUAGCUGGAAAGUACUGAGCGAUUGGCGUGGGCUAAAUUUAGAACUGAAGCAGGAAAAAGAAAAAGGGCAAAGAGGCUUUGAAUGAAAAGGAUGGCGUUUAAAAGAAGCACUAGGUAGUGAUCAUUCAUGCAUGAGCAAGGCUACAAAGAUGAUUGGUCGAACGAAUGAAUAAAAAGAUUAAAAGAACAAAUUCAUGCCUUCCGCCUUUGAUACUAUAUAUAAUAUUAUAAAAAAUAUUGAAAGGUGUAGAUGUAGGUUGGGUUGAUGGUUUAAGGCAGUCACACUGUGUGGGUAUCGGGAGUCGUUAAGAGUAUUCUUUUAGGUGAUCGGAGAAGUCUAAGCACAGUUUUUGUAAUAAA